rnacentral:rRNA from 1 species
AACGAACGCUGGCGGCAGGCUUAACACAUGCAAGUCGAGCGCCCCGCAAGGGGAGCGGCAGACGGGUGAGUAACGCGUGGGAAUCUACCCAUCCCUACGGAACAACCCCGGGAAACUGGAGCUAAUACCGUAUACGUCCUUCGGGAGGAAGAUUUAUCGGGGAUGGAUGAGCCCGCGUUGGAUUAGCUAGUUGUUGGGGUAAUGGACUACCAAGGCGACGAUCCAUAGCUGGUCUGAGAGGAUGUUCAGCCACACUGGGACUUUGACACGCCCCAGACUCCUACGGGAGGCAGCAGUGUGGUAUAUUGGACAAUGGGCGAAAGCCUGAGCCCGCCAUGCCGCGUGAGUGAUGACGGCCCUAGGGUUGUAAAGCUCUUUCGCAGGUGAAGAUAAUGACGGUAACCUGAGAAGAAGCCCCGGCUAACUUCGUGCCAGCCGCCGCCGUAACAC